CAUUAUCGAAAUCCAAGGUGCAGAGGGGGAUCGGAGAAAUCCGUUCCUUCGAAGCCCUUUUACCUCUUUCACACCUGUGUGCACCCACGUUCGCAAGGUCCUUCGGGACCUGCGCAUUCUAUCUCGAACUCGCAUGUCUACAGAAUGUCGCUAGCAUUUGAAAUGAAAUACAACUUUCAGCAACGGAUCUCUUGGCUCUCGCAUCGAUGAAGAACGCAGCGAAUCGCGAUAAGUAAUGUGAAUUGCAGAUUUUCCGUGAAUCAUCGAAUCUUUGAACGCACCUUGCGCUCCUUGGUAUUCCGAGGAGCAUGCCUGUUUGAGUGUCAUCGAAAUCUCAAACUGAGCCUUUUUGACUUUGGUCAAAGGCUUGGGUUUUGGACCGUUGGGAGUCUGCGGGUGACCCUCUCCGGGACGUCGGCUCUCCUGAAAUGCAUUAGCAGUGGGCAUGUGCAAGCCUUGCAUGGCACCAGCCUCUCCGACGUCAUAAUGAUCGUCGUGGGCUGUAAGCUGCAAAGGAUGUACCCCACGCUCCCUAAACCUGUGAGCCCUCCCAGGCUCUGCUUUCGAAGGCUUGACCUCAAAUCAGGUAGGACUACCCGCUGAACUUAAGCAUAUCAAUAA
rnacentral:sRNA from 1 species